UACGAAGGUGGCAAGCGUUACUCGGAAUGACUAGGCGUAAAGGGCAGGUAGGCGGUUUGGUAAGUCUGUUGUGAAAGCUCCCGGCUUAACUGGGAGAGGCCAACAGAUACUGCUAGGCUUGAGUAUAGGAGAGGUUACUGGAAUUCCUGGUGUAGCGGUGAAAUGCGCAGAGAUCAGGAGGAACACCAAUGGCGAAAGCAAGUAACUGGACUAUUACUGACGCUCAGCUGCGAAAGCUAGGGGAGCAAACAGG
rnacentral:misc_RNA from 1 species